rnacentral:rRNA from 1 species
UAGGGAAUAUUAGUAAUGGGCGAAAGCCUGAACUAGCAACGCCGCGUGUGCGAAGAAGGCCUUCGGGUUGUAAAGCACUUUUUGAGAGGAUGAGGAAGGACGGUACUCUCAGAAUAAGUCUCGGCUAACUACGUGCCAGCAGCCGCGGUAACACGUAGGAGGCGAACGUUAUCCGGAUUUACUGGGCGUAAAGCGCGUGUAGAUGGUUUGGUAAGUAGGGCGUGAGAGCUCCUGGCGCAACUGGGAGAGGCCGUUCUAAACUGACGAACUAGAGGAUGGUAGAGGGAGGUGG